CUGUCCACCCUCAUCUCCUAACAAACUGAAAGACCAGUGUCUCCACUCCCAACCUCCAACAUCUACCAACCAGCAAGACCGGGCUUCAUGGACUCAUACUCAGUGGUGGCAGGCUAAUUGAGUCCAGCUGGGUUCCAUUCCCUCAAUCAGUGGUUGCCUUUAAGAAGGAGCAGUCUCCCUCAAGCAGACGGCAGAUGGUUGAUGUACUCAGAGUGGAUCCCUUCUGGCAAAGACUGUUGUUGGAUCCACCUCCCCCAAGGCUGCUGUUCUGCUCCUUCCUCAGGCUCACCAACUUGGCCUUCAGAACCCCUGGCUCAAACCUGUCCACCCUCAUCUCC